rnacentral:rRNA from 1 species
CUGCUCAAUGAUAUUUUAAAUAGCUGCAGUAUAAAUAACUGUACAAAGGUAGCAUAAUAAAUUGAUUUUUAAAUGAAAUCUUGAAUGAAAGAAUAAAUGAAAUAUAAACUGUCUCUUAUAAAAAUAUAAAAUUUAUUUUUUAAGUUAAAAAACUUAAUUUAAUAAAAAAGACGAGAAGACCCUAUAGAAUUUAAUAAUUAUAUAUAUUCAAUUUAUAUUUUAUAUAUUAAAAUAUAAUUAUUUUUUUGGGGAAAAAUUUUAAUUUAAAACUAAAAAUAUAUUUAUAUCAAUUAUAAUUGAAAAAAUAAUCUUAAAAAUUAAAUUAAAAAAAUUAAUUACCUUAGGGAUAACAGCAUAAUUUUUUUAAUUAGAUCAUAUAUAUAAAAAAGUUUAUGACCUCGAUGUUGAAUUAAGAUAAAAUUAAAUGAAAAAUUUUUAUAAUUUAAGUCUGUUCGACU